UCUAGGAAUAAUCAUAAGGCUCAGGGCAUUUCCCUGUUAUACUAAAAUUUUACGGGAUCGAAGCCCGUCUGCCUAGAG
rnacentral:tRNA from 1 species